CUUCCUCUUAUUUAUCUCCUUUUAUGGUUCAAUUUCAUAACUCUCUGGCAGACAUGUGAUACCCCAAAUUACUGUUUAACUACAGAACCAGUUUGCACCAGCUAAGUUUCAUAGGUUGUACAAAGAUAGCAUUCUUUUUAACCACAGAGUGUGUCUGUCACCCAAAGAUGACAUUGUCUUUAACCACAGAGCGUGUCUGUUUAAGUCAUCAUAUUUGAAACCCUUUGUUUCAUUUCCUUAGUAACUUAGCCCCAGCCCCACUAUUGCAGAGUCUUAAUAUUGCAAAGCCCCAUCCCUGAUAUUGUGAAAACAACACUGUUUCUCUCACAGAGUUUCCGCAGGUGAACUCUUCUUUCCCUGUUUGUCCCCUGCCCUGAGAAAAAAUCUGGAAAACCUGCAAAUCUGUUCCCCUGCCUGACAAUGUAUUUUUUCUGUUACAGGAUCCAAAAGGAAAUAGAGAAAAUGCAAAAGAGGAAGAACUAUCCAAAAGUUCCAGUGACAGCACAGUUACCGAAACAGAGGAAGGGAAGAAUAUCAAAGCACCCAAGAAGCAGAAGCUUGCCCAUGAAAUCCCUGUGGAACUGGGUGUAAACGAUGUGCCCUACCUGCUGGAGGACGAAGUGAAGAGCUUGAUGAAAAAGGAUGUUUGAAAUGGCUCUGCUGGGUUAAAGCUCCAGACUCCAAGACUUGACGAUCCAAGAUCUAGAGAAACAAGAAAGAUAGAACUCGGCCAAUAGCUUGGAGUCAUUCAUCUUUGGGACCCAGGAGAAGCUUCACGAGGAGGAGCAUUGUUUUUUCUCCUCAGGGGAGCAGAGAGAAGACAUUUCCAGAAAGCUUAGCAAGGCUUCCCGUUGGAUGGAGGAGGAGGGCUCUGCAGCUGGAACUAAGCUUCCUGUGCCCCUCCUCACUGGCAGAGCAUGAGACUGAAAAGUCCUUUAUCAGAGUAAACAUUACUUAGCAACUACUAAAACCAUCGGUGUUAUCAGUGUUCUCAGACUAAAGUUGAAAACACAGCACUGCACCAGGUACUAAGGAGAAAAAUGACUGCUACUGCUGAAACCAGGGCAGGAGCCCACCCAGCUUGAUGAUAAAGGUUUUGGGGUACAUUUUCCCUCUCCCAGCUAGAUGUCAACUGCCACCAUGGUCACCCUUUCUUUUGCCAUGGAAGGACAAAACAGAAGAAUCCGAAUCCAUGAUCUGUGACACAAGGUAUGUCUGUGAUGCAUGUCUGCGUUUUUCCUGCGGUGCUUGUAGUAUGGGAUUUAAAGAUGACAUAAAGAAGGUGCCCGCUCUCUUUCUCUGUUUUUUUCUAUGAAAGAUUUAAAGACAAAUACUCAACAUAAGGCCCAUUG